rnacentral:rRNA from 1 species
CCUACGGGUGGCAGCAGUGGGGAAUAUUGCACAAUGGGGGAAACCCUGAUGCAGCGACGCCGCGUGAGCGAUGAAGUCUUUCGGUAUGUAAAGCUCUAUCAGCAGGGAAGAAAAUGACGGUACCUGACUAGGAAGCCCCGGCUAACUACGUGACAGAAGCCGCGGUAAUACGUAGGGGGCAAGCGUUAUCCGGAUUUACUGGGUGUAAAGGGAGCGUAGACGGCGAUGCAAGCCAGAUGUGAAAGCCCGGGGCUCAACCCCGGGACUGCAUUUGGAACUGUAUAGCUGGAGUUUCGGAGAGGCAGGUGGAAUUCCUGGUGUAGCGGUGAAAUGCGUAGAUAUUAGGAGGAACACCAGUUGCGAAGGCGGCCUGCUGGACGAUGACUGACGUUGAGGCUCGAAAGCGUGGGGAGCAAACAGGAUUAGAUACCCGAGUAGUC